AAGGAUGAAAUCCCUCGGGAUGUAAACUUCGCAAGAACGGGAAGAAUAAGCCUGUGCUAAUACCGCAGCGAUGACGGUACCGUUUGUAAGCUCCGGCUAACUCCGUGCCAGCAGCCGCGGUAAUACGGGGGGAGCAAGCGUUGUUCGGAUUUACUGGGCGUAAAGGGCGCGUAGGCGGCCACCGCAAGUCAGUUGUGAAAUCUCCGAGCUUAACUCGGAAAGGUCAACUGAUACUGCGGGGCUAGAGUACGGAAGGGGCAACUGGAAUUCUUGGUGUAGCGGUGAAAUGCGUAGAUAUCAAGAGGAACACCUGCGGCGAAGGCGGGUUGCUGGGCCGACACUGACGCUGAGGCGCGAAAGCUAGGGGAGCGAACGGGAUUAGAUACCCCGGUAGUCCUAGCCUUAAACGAUGAAUGCUUGGUGUCUGGGGUUAUAUAGUCCCCKGGUGCCGUCGCUAACGCUUUAAGCAUUCCGCCUGGGG
rnacentral:rRNA from 1 species